UUCUAAGGAGUGCUAACUCAACAAGUAUUUACUUUAAGGUUCAUUAAAUUAUGAACUUUUUGGUUUUUAAUAACUAAAGUUUGCACAGUCGAUUCUUGACAAAUCGACAAAAUGAACAUUGAAAAUCGAAUAACAGUAUAUAUUUCC
rnacentral:misc_RNA from 1 species